AAAUUGAAGAGUUUGAUCAUGGCUCAGAUUGAACGCUGGCGGCAGGCCUAACACAUGCAAGUCGAGCGGUAGCACAGAGAGCUUGCUCUCGGGUGACGAGCGGCGGACGGGUGAGUAAUGUCUGGGAAACUGCCUGAUGGAGGGGGAUAACUACUGGAAACGGUAGCUAAUACCGCAUAACGUCGCAAGACCAAAGUGGGGGACCUUCGGGCCUCAUGCCAUCAGAUGUGCCCAGAUGGGAUUAGCUAGUAGGUGGGGUAACGGCUCACCUAGGCGACGAUCCCUAGCUGGUCUGAGAGGAUGACCAGCCACACUGGAACUGAGACACGGUCCAGACUCCUACGGGAGGCAGCAGUGGGGAAUAUUGCACAAUGGGCGCAAGCCUGAUGCAGCCAUGCCGCGUGUGUGAAGAAGGCCUUCGGGUUGUAAAGCACUUUCAGCGGGGAGGAAGGCGGUGAGGUUAAUAACCUCAUCGAUUGACGUUACCCGCAGAAGAAGCACCGGCUAACUCCGUGCCAGCAGCCGCGGUAAUACGGAGGGUGCAAGCGUUAAUCGGAAUUACUGGGCGUAAAGCGCACGCAGGCGGUCUGUCAAGUCGGAUGUGAAAUCCCCGGGCUCAACCUGGGAACUGCAUUCGAAACUGGCAGGCUAGAGUCUUGUAGAGGGGGGUAGAAUUCCAGGUGUAGCGGUGAAAUGCGUAGAGAUCUGGAGGAAUACCGGUGGCGAAGGCGGCCCCCUGGACAAAGACUGACGCUCAGGUGCGAAAGCGUGGGGAGCAAACAGGAUUAGAUACCCUGGUAGUCCACGCCGUAAACGAUGUCGAUUUGGAGGUUGUGCCCUUGAGGCGUGGCUUCCGGAGCUAACGCGUUAAAUCGACCGCCUGGGGAGUACGGCCGCAAGGUUAAAACUCAAAUGAAUUGACGGGGGCCCCAAGCAAGCGGUGGAGCAUGUGGUUUAAUUCGAUGCAACGCGAAGAACCUUACCUGGUCUUGACAUCCACAGAACUUUCCAGAGAUGGAUUGGUGCCUUCGGGAACUGUGAGACAGGUGCUGCAUGGCUGUCGUCAGCUCGUGUUGUGAAAUGUUGGGUUAAGUCCCGCAACGAGCGCAACCCUUAUCCUUUGUUGCCAGCGGUUAGGCCGGGAACUCAAAGGAGACUGCCAGUGAUAAACUGGAGGAAGGUGGGGAUGACGUCAAGUCAUCAUGGCCCUUACGACCAGGGCUACACACGUGCUACAAUGGCAUAUACAAAGAGAAGCGACCUCGCGAGAGCAAGCGGACCUCAUAAAGUAUGUCGUAGUCCGGAUUGGAGUCUGCAACUCGACUCCAUGAAGUCGGAAUCGCUAGUAAUCGUAGAUCAGAAUGCUACGGUGAAUACGUUCCCGGGCCUUGUACACACCGCCCGUCACACCAUGGGAGUGGGUUGCAAAAGAAGUAGGUAGCUUAACCUUCGGGAGGGCGCUUACCACUUUGUGAUUCAUGACUGGGGUGAAGUCGUAACAAGGUAACCGUAGGGGAACCUGCGGUUGGAUCACCUCCUUA
rnacentral:rRNA from 1 species